CCUACUCCCAUAGAUAAGGGAUAAUUUUAGUAAAAAACUCGACUUUUUUGCCUCUCAAGUUCUUCCUCUUCUUUUCUUCGUGUCUAUCGGUAUUCAUUUUUGCUAAAGAUGUUCAGUUGCUUACAAUCGCAUCCGCAGAUGCCAACAUGCUUCAGGGAUUGAACUUUUUUUCUUUUGGCUUUCAAUUCUCAUUUUUUAUUUACUUUUACAACAUGACUUUAGUGAACAAGAAUCUUUUCGUAAUUUAGGUGGGCAAUUAAUCAUUUGAUGAGGUAGCUGCUCUCUACCAAGCAGAGUACGUUUGUAGGCCUCUCUUAUGUUUGUACUUUAGAUUGAGUGUCAAUUUAACUAAAAAACAGCCAGCCUUGAUCUUUCGUUGCAAAGGUUAAUAUACAUGUUCAGUAGCUUAUGGUGGCAUCUAUAGAUACGAACAUACUUCAUAUAAUUAUUCUUCUGAAGAUUUUUUUGUGUUACAACUCUGAGCUACGGCCAGUUGGAGACAUGUACAUAAAUACAUACAAUAUAUGAGAUUCACUAUUGGUAUGUAAAUAUUGCCCAUUUUACUAUUUAGAAAAGAUAAAUAAAAACUAUUAUUGUAUAAAAAGAUUAAAAUAAUUGCUUGGUUUAUUCUGAUGCGAGUUUUAGUGUUCUAUUAUUUUCCUUCGCUUUUCCAUUGAUUUGUGGGUUUGGUGGAAUUUGGUUCUGCUGGUCUGAUUUGUGCAUCAUUCUCUAUUGACGUUUUCUGUUUGGGACAUGUCUAAAUAGUUAAGUUCUCCAAAAAUUAGUAUAUUUAGAGGCAUCAUAAAUAGGUCACCAAUGCUAUGCAGAAACAGCCGAUUUAUGAUGCAGUUGAAGGGAGACUGGAGAGAGGAACUAUUUUGUUCUCUUUGUGAUUUGCCUGCUGCUCAAUCUAAUCUUAAUAGUGUGAAGAUAGUUGAUUAUGCUGAAAGAAAACUUUUUUCAUGUGGGUUAAGCGGAUUGUCUCUUUCGUUGCCCUCUUUAUGUUGUCUUUCCUAUUCUGUAAUAUGUAUUCUUUGGAUAACUUUUUUUGCUUGGCAAAGAUGAUCUUUGAC